CCCUUAGAUGUUCUGGGCCGCACGCGCGCUACACUGACGGAUUCAACGAGCUUACAACCUUGGCCGAAAGGUCUGGGUAAUCUCCAAAAUCCGUCGUGAUGGGGAUAGAUUAUUGCAAUUAUUAAUCUUCAACGAGGAAUGCCUAGUAAGCGCAAGUCAUCAGCUUGCGUUGAUUACGUCCCUGCCCUUUGUACACACCGCCCGUCGCUCCUACCGAUUGGGUGUGCUGGUGAAAUGUUCGGAUCGGCCGUUUGUCGCGGUUUCCGCGUCAUGUGGCUGAGAAGUUCAUUAAACCCUCCCACCUAGAGGAAGGAGAAGUCGUAACA
rnacentral:rRNA from 1 species